GACGAACGCUGGCGGCAGGCUUAACACAUGCAAGUCGAACGCCCCGCAAGGGGAGUGGCAGACGGGUGAGUAACGCGUGGGAACAUACCCUUUUCUACGGAAUAGCUCUGGGAAACUGGAAUUAAUACCGUAUACGCCCUACGGGGGAAAGAUUUAUCGGGGAAGGAUUGGCCCGCGUUGGAUUAGCUAGUUGGUGGGGUAAAGGCCUACCAAGGCGACGAUCCAUAGCUGGUCUGAGAGGAUGAUCAGCCACAUUGGGACUGAGACACGGCCCAAACUCCUACGGGAGGCAGCAGUGGGGAAUAUUGGACAGUGGGCGCAAGCCUGAUCCAGCCAUGCCGCGUGAGUGAUGAAGGCCUUAGGGUUGUAAAGCUCUUUCACCGAUGAAGAUAAUGACGGUAGUCGGAGAAGAAGCCCCGGCUAACUUCGUGCCAGCAGCCGCGGUAAUAC
rnacentral:rRNA from 1 species